CAAGAAAUAGUUUAUUAAGAAUUUCAGCUUUGGGUGCUGAUGGUGGGGCUGAUAGGCCUCUUUCUUGA
rnacentral:tRNA from 1 species